ACCUCUGACUAUGUGAAGAUACGGUGGGAAGAUGACUGACCGCAAGACAGGAAGAGAGCCCUCACCGAGGAACCAAAUUGGCCAGUAUCUUGAUUUUGGAUUUCUCAACCUCAAGAACCAUGAGAAAUGAAUGUCUGCUGUUCAAGCCACCCAGUCAAUGUCCAUGAGAGCAAGCAUCUUUGUCCGUUUGGCUCACUGUUGGAUUCCCUGUUUUAAAAAUAUCACCCGGCCCAGCGUAGAAAAAGUUUGGAAACCUUCAUCUAGAAAGUGGUCUAGCAAAGUGUGGUCCAUGGAUGAGUUUGAUCUGCAAACUGCUUGUUAUUGGUUCAUGACAAGAAUUGGUUCCAAACAGUAAAGCCGCCAGAAAAAACAGACAAACUCUUAGGAACAACAAUGCCCAUUAUGUGUGGAGUAGAAGCUGCCAGACUUUGAUUACUGGCCAGAGAUUAACCCCUU
rnacentral:lncRNA from 10 species